CCCUUAGAUGUUCUGGGCCGCACGCGCGCUACACUGACGAAGUCAGCGAGCAUGUCCUACGCCGACAGGUGCGGGGAAUCUUGUCAAACUUCGUCGUGAUGGGGAUUGAUUAUUGAAAUUCUUGAUCAUCAACGAGGAAUUCCUAGUAAGCGCAAGUCAGCAGCUUGCGUUGACUACGUCCCUGCCCUUUGUACACACCGCCCGUCGCUACUACCGAUUGAAUGGUUUAGUGAGAUCUUCGGAUUGGCGCCACUGCGGCUCAGCAAUGGGCUCGGUGGAUGCCGAAAAGUUGAUCAAACUUGAUCAUUUAGAGGAAGUAAAAGUCGUAACA
rnacentral:rRNA from 1 species